rnacentral:rRNA from 1 species
CUAAGUGGGCUUUAUUGUGGGAAAAACUCCAUAGUUAAGUGCGUUUGAGCCAGAGACGUCUUGGGAUGGGUGACCACCUGGGAAGUCCUGGUUAUAUAUGGU